rfam:Camelus ferus unplaced genomic scaffold scaffold320, whole genome shotgun sequence.
GGGUGUAACUCAGUGGGAAAGCAUGUGCUUAGCAUGCAUGAGGUCCUGGGUUCAAUCCCAGUACAUCCA